UGGGGAAUAUUGCACAAUGGGCGCAAGCCUGAUGCAGCCAUGCCGCGUGUAUGAAGAAGGCCUUCGGGUUGUAAAGUACUUUCAGCGGGGAGGAAGGCGUUAAGGUUAAUAACCUUGGCGAUUGACGUUACCCGCAGAAGAAGCACCGGCUAACUCCGUGCCAGCAGCCGCGGUAAUACGGAGGGUGCAAGCGUUAAUCGGAAUUACUGGGCGUAAAGCGCACGCAGGCGGUCUGUCAAGUCGGAUGUGAAAUCCCCGGGCUCAACCUGGGAACUGCAUUCGAAACUGGCAGGCUAGAGUCUUGUAGAGGGGGGUAGAAUUCCAGGUGUAGCGGUGAAAUGCGUAGAGAUCUGGAGGAAUACCGGUGGCGAAGGCGGCCCCCUGGACAAAGACUGACGCUCAGGUGCGAAAGCGUGGGGAGCAAACAGG
rnacentral:rRNA from 1 species